UGGCAGUGUCUUAGCUGGUUGUUGUGUGCAGUCAGAAAAAGCAAUCAGCAAGUAUACUGCCGCA
rnacentral:pre_miRNA from 1 species